rnacentral:rRNA from 1 species
ACUCCUACGGGAGGCAGCAGUAGGGAAUAUUGGGCAAUGGAGGCAACUCUGACCCAGCCAUGCCGCGUGCAGGAAGACGGUCCUCUGGAUUGUAAACUGCUUUUGAAUGGGAAGAAACGUAGCUUUGCGAAGCUAUUUGACGGUACUAUUAGAAUAAGCACCGGCUAACUCCGUGCCAGCAGCCGCGGUAAU